ACAGAAUCAGGGAAUUUGGACAUUGGCCACACCACAAUAGAGAACAUGGGCUGGAGGGGUAGGACAUGGGGGUAGGUGUGACAUGUCAGGCAGAGAGCAGUGGAGUCCCCCAUUCUGAAAUCAAAUUUACAAACAAUGUCUCCAAGGAAUGGAAAAAUGGAAAUCCAAACCCAAAGAAGUCACUUUGGUUGUUGACAGAGAAGACACAAGAUCACCAAACAGGAAAUAAAGAUAAUACAUCUUAUGAUAAAAACAAUAGUUUAGAGUGAUGCAUGAAGAGGCACACUAACCACUGAGGGAGGGUGUCGCAAUGGUCCGGGACAGUAAGGAGAUUCAGCAAAAGAUUCAGCACCUCCUUGUUAGCACCCUUAGCCUCAUAGAGCCAAAGGGGAAGAGGAACAAACUACAGAAACUCCCCCUGAGAUCACCCCAGCUGGACAUCAGCCCUCAAGUGAUGAAGACGUCCAUACUUCCAAGGUUCCCCGCAGCUGUGUUGAGCUCUCAGACCUGGGCAAGGGGCUCUCUGGCCAGCCUCUUUCAAUCUUGCUCUAAUAAAGGCAGGAGGCAGACAAAUGCCUAGGCAGAUAGGGAAGGGUCUCCGGUGAGACCCCCCCUUCAAGCUUAAAGCAGCCUGAAAGCUGAAAGACUGGAGUGCUGGUUCCAGAUGAAACCUGCAACCGAGAGGGAAAACUUCUGCCCUGUUUGCCCCACCCUUUCCCAAUUGAUUCUUUCUGAAUAAGGCCUUUCAACCAAUCAAAUGCUGCCUUUUCCAAUACUAUCUAUGGCUUGCCAGUGCAUGCCUGCCUGCGCACUGGGGGAAUGGGAUGGAGCCACCAGGAAUUCAUGCCUUAUGCAAGGGAGGAGUGGCCUCUUUAGCACGUGUGUGGUAGCCCUGAUAUUCAAUUAGGGAGGUGAAAACCUGUUGGCAGGACCUCCCCUCUUUUGCCAAGAGCUUUUUUUCGCUUAAUAAAUUCCAUCCUUCUCACCAUUCAA